CCGAUCGAUGAAGAGGAGCUGAUUCAGUAUAUCAUCACCGGCCUUGGCGAGGGCUACAGCGAGGUGGUGUCGGCUGUCUGCGCUCGGGUUGAACCAAUCUCUGUGAGUGAUCUGUACUCUCAAGUGUUGAACUUUGAAG
rnacentral:snoRNA from 2 species